CAGCCGCCGCGGGAAUACGAAGGGUGCAAGCGUUACUCGGAAUUACUGGGCGUAAAGCGUGCGUAGGUGGUGGUUUAAGUCCGUUGUGAAAGCCCUGGGCUCAACCUGGGAAUUGCAGCGGAUACUGGGUCACUAGAGUGUGGUAGAGGAUAGUGGAAUUUCCGGUGUAGCAGUGAAAUGCGUAGAGAUCGGAAGGAACAUCUGUGGCGAAGGCGACUAUCUGGGCCAACACUGACACUGAGGCACGAAAGCGUGGGGAGCAAACAGGAUUAGAUACCCCCGUAGUCCCUGUCUCUUAUAC
rnacentral:rRNA from 1 species